UGCAAGUCGAACGGAAUCCUUAGGGAUUUAGUGGCGGACGGGUGAGUAACACGUAAGAACCUGCCUCUAGGACGGGGACAACAGUUGGAAACGACUGCUAAACCCGGAUGAGCCGAAAGGUAAAAGAUUAAUCGCCUAGAGAGGGGCUUGCGUCUGAUUAGCUAGUUGGUGAGGUAAGAGCCCACCAAGGCGACGAUCAGUAGCUGGUCUGAGAGGAUGAUCAGCCACACUGGGACUGAGACACGGCCCAGACUCCUACGGGAGGCAGCAGUGGGGAAUUUUCCGCAAUGGGCGAAAGCCUGACGGAGCAAGACCGCGUGGGGGAGGAAGGUUCUUGGAUUGUCAACCCCUUUUCUCAGGGAAGAACACAAUGACGGUACCUGAGGAAAAAGCAUCGGCUAACUCCGUGCCAGCAGCCGCGGUAAUACGGGGGAUGCAAGCGUUAUCCGGAAUGAUUGGGCGUAAAGAGUCCGUAGGUAGUCAUCCAAGUCUGCUGUUAAAGAGCGAGGCUUAACCUCGUAAAGGCAGUGGAAACUGGAAGACUAGAGUGUAGUAGGGGCAGAGGGAAUUCCUGGUGUAGCGGUGAAAUGCGUAGAGAUCAGGAAGAACACCGGUGGCGAAGGCGCUCUGCUGGGCUAUAACUGACACUGAGGGACGAAAGCUAGGGGAGCGAAUGGGAUUAGAUACCCCAGUAGUCCUAGCGGUAAACGAUGGAAACUAGGUGUGGCCUGUAUCGACCCGGGCCGUGCCGAAGCAAACGCGUUAAGUUUCCCGCCUGGGGAGUACGCACGCAAGUGUGAAACUCAAAGGAAUUGACGGGGGCCCGCACAAGCGGUGGAGUAUGUGGUUUAAUUCGAUGCAACGCGAAGAACCUUACCAGGACUUGACAUCUCUGGAAUCUCCUUGAAAGGGGAGAGUGCCGUAAGGAACCGGAAGACAGGUGCUGCAUGGCUGUCGUCAGCUCGUGUCGUGAGAUGUUGGGUUAAGUCCCGCAACGAGCGCAACCCUCGUCGUUAGUUGCCAUCAUUAAGUUGGGAACUCUAGCGAGACUGCCGGUGACAAACCGGAGGAAGGUGAGGAUGACGUCAAGUCAGCAUGGCCCUUACGUCCUGGGCGACACACGUACUACAAUGCGAGGGACACAGAGCAGCCAACCCGCGAGGGAGAGCGAAUCUCACAAACCCUGGCACAGUUCAGAUUGCAGGCUGCAACUCGCCUGCAUGAAGGAGGAAUCGCUAGUAAUCGCAGGUCAGCAUACUGCGGUGAAUCCGUUCCCGGGCCUUGUACACACCGCCCGUCACACCAUGGAAGUGAGCCACGCCCGAAGUCAUUACUCUAACCCUUUCGGGGGAGGAGGGUGCCGAACGCGGGGUUGAUGACUGGGGU
rnacentral:rRNA from 2 species